GGCUUUAUAACUGAGUUGAUGAGAGCAUUGUACCGGCAUUGCAAGGUCAUGGGUUCGAAUCCCGUUCAAACCU